rnacentral:rRNA from 1 species
GCAAGUCGAACGAUGAAGCAGCUGCUUGCAGUUGUGGAUUAGUGGCGGACGGGUGAGUAACGCGUGGGAAUCUACCUGGUAGUGGGGGAUAGCCCGGAGAAAUCCGGAGUAAUACCGCAUACCUUCUACGGAAGAAAGGCUUCGGCCGCUACCAGAUGAGCCCGCGUUAGAUUAGCUAGUUGGUGAGGUAAUGGCUCACCAAGGCAACGAUCUAUAGCUGGUCUGAGAGGAUGAUC